rnacentral:rRNA from 1 species
UACGAGGGGGGCAAGCGUUGUUCGGAAUUAUUGGGCGUAAAGAGCUCGUAGGCGGUCUGUCGCGUCGGAUGUGAAAGCCCGGGGCUUAACCCCGGGUCUGCAUUCGAUACGGGCAGACUAGAGUGUGGUAGGGGAGAUCGGAAUUCCUGGUGUAGCGGUGAAAUGCGCAGAUAUCAGGAGGAACACCGGUGGCGAAGGCGGAUCUCUGGGCCAUUACUGACGCUGAGGAGCGAAAGCGUGGGGAGCGAACAGG